UUAAAAAAAACAUCAACACAUGAAAUGUCUUUCUCUCUCUCCCCAAAAUAAAACAUUAAAAAAAACAUUAACACACUAAAAAAAUGUUAAUAACCACUAUAUAGAUGUGAUGGUGAAAUGAGAAAAUACACCCAGAGCACCAAGGAUAUAGUAGUGUAUAAUAAAAUAUGCCCACAUCAUUAACCGUGGCCCAUGGUUAAUUUUGUAGACUUUGUAAAUUUUGUAAAUUUUUCUUCCCCAACAAGGGGGAAAGUUGGUUAAGAGAUUUUUAAUUUUCUUUUAAGAUGGGAGCAGUGAUAGUACGUUUGUAUGCUUAUAGAAAUAAGUCAGUAAAUGGGGAAAACUAGAUGAUGCAGGAGGAAUACCGUGGUAGACCCCGUUCUCGGUGCUAGAGAUAUAGCUGUGAAUAAUGCAUUAAAAAAAAAUAAUAAAAGCCUUGCCCCUAUAGAGUUGACAUUUGGGAUGGGGGGAGGCAGACAACUAAAAAACAUAAGUAAAAUAAUAUGUUAGGUAGAACAGGAACGUGAUUGUUGGAUGGGGAAGAUUCAGGGGCCUGUGGGUUGGAAUUUUAAACAGGGUAGUGACAGGGUUCCAGAUACAUCACCUCAGAAUGGCACUCCCUCAUACGGAAUAGUGUAAGCUGAAGGAAUUUGUGAAAGGGCAGGUGCUGGAAGGACUCUAUGACCGCCCCCCCCCCCGCCCCCCGCCCCCAAAGCAGGUCAUAAAGCCUGCUUGGGAGCGGUGCCCUCCCCUUACCUGGAAGAAAGUAACAUCCUUAUCUCUGAAGACACCAGGACUCAGCAAGGAAUCCAAACAAACAGCUGUGGAGACCCAGCUGGGCACCUGGAAAGGGCAGAAGGGACCAGCAGUGGUCUGGAGAAGGCCUCCCAGAGAAGAUGAGAUUUGAGCAAAGUCUGGAGGGAGGUGAUGGAAACCCCAUGUGGAAAUCUGGGGGAAGGCAGCUCCGAGCAGAGAGAACAAUGAAGAGAUACACCCAGGCACAGUGCUUGGCAUCCAGCUACAAGGUCGACUGAGGCAUGUUCUCUGUGCUCAGAAGCUCACAGUCAGUGAGGGAAAAACAGAAGCCGAUGACUACAAUUCAUUGUUGGAAAUGCAAUUAUGGCCUUAUGUUGGGAUAUUACUGAUAUUACUGAAAAGGGAUUCUAAAAAUUUUACUAAAAAUAAAAUAAUUGAAAAUAGC